UACGAAGGGGGGCUAGCGUUGUUCGGAAUCACUGGGCGUAAAGCGCACGUAGGCGGAUUGUUAAGUCGGGGGUGAAAUCCUGAGGCUCAACCUCAGAACUGCCUCCGAUACUGGCAAUCUCGAGUUCGGAAGAGGUUGGUGGAACAGCUAGUGUAGAGGUGAAAUUCGUAGAUAUUAGCUAGAACACCAGUGGCGAAGGCGGCCAACUGGUCCGACACUGACGCUGAGGUGCGAAAGCGUGGGGAGCAAACAGG
rnacentral:rRNA from 1 species